CCUUGUAUAUAUUAUAGUAUACAAUAAAAUUAGUUACAUAUUUAAGGUUUAGGUUGUACAUCAUUAAUAGAAGAAUAAGAAUGCACAUUGUAAUAUCAUAAUGUUAUAUUAAUUAUUAUACAUUCAAGAUUUAAUUGUUGUAGGCCAAUUUUGGCCUAUAGAAUAACAAACCCCUUAACCCAUUUUUCAAAACCCAUUUAAAUUAAAUCUACCCAAAUCUAUUACAGAACCCAAAUAUUUAACCCAUCCCCAAGCCCAAAUAAAACCUAACUACAAGCCCAAAUUAAACAAACCCUAACCCACUAACUAUCCCACAACCUUUUGUCAGAAACCAAAAACCCUAGCCACCUUGUCCCAUUCGGCCACCUGCCCACUGCAGCACCGCCCCACAUCCACCACCCUCUGCACCUGCAACAUCGGAGAAGAAAAGACAGCAAAUAAUAGAAAAUAGUUUGUAAAUAAGGCUAUAAAAGCUGAAUGAAAAAAGGAUUAGGGGUUUUUUUUUUUUGGAUCUUUGAAAAAAUACAAAAAAAUAAUCUCAAUAUACAUACAUGCAGUGAUAUGAAGGAAGAAAAAUACAAGAACAACACCGAUUGGGUAACCAAAAUACUGAUAUCAAAAGUCUAAGGUGCUUUAUUCUUUUUAUUUCUUAUUUAUUUUCGAAUUUGUGUUUCUAUGCAUAUGUACAUAUAAAAGUAUAAAAGAAAAAGAUAAGAAAAGAAAAAAAAUAUAAAAUAAAAAAUAAAAAAAAUAUACCUUUUCAACUUUCUGGCCACCGUGUACGGUGGCCGGCGGCAGCAAUCGGUGGUGGCGGUCUACCUGUGACUUCGUCGGGGCCUGGAUCUGCAGAGAAAUAAAAGAGAAAGUUUAGUUUUUUAGAAACAGGUAACAAAU
rnacentral:lncRNA from 1 species